AACCAUAAUGACUCAAGAUAGUGCAAUUCAUCAUUUAGUUCUUCUCAAUUCAUAUGGGUGAAGAAUGGACACUAUCUAUGGUGAUUGAUCUUAUAUACCUAAUAUCAAAGAGUGAAUGAUUUCUUCCAUUCUAUUUUUUUCUUACUUCCUAAUUAAACUAUCCUACCACACUCCUUAUCCUGUAUGUAUGUGACCCAGAUUCAUGGCCCGAGGUCAAUCUGAUUGUAGUUGUAUAUAAAAUAGUAUUUAAAGUUAAGGGGUUUUGAUAAUAAUGCCAAUAAUAGCACUUAAAUGUAAAGAAGUAGUAUAAAUUAAUCAAAAUCAAUAUUAUAGCCUUCGAUCUAUACAACAUAUUUGGGUCAAAAAAAAUCUAUACAACAUAUUUCAAUUUUUACAUAAAAUAUAUAACUUAUAAAAUCCAAUAGUGUCAUGAUACUAUGAUAGAAUCUUACGAUCUAGUAAUGUCAAGCAAGAAAACAAUACUUCCUAGGAUCCUUAUCCUAACAACAUUGAUAGCUCGCAUUCUGCGAUAAUAUAGAGUCCGAUUCGAAGAUAUAUUGGCAGUUGCACAUAUAUAAUUGCUAGUAAAAGUCCAAGGUUUAUAUUGCAAUCUGGCUAGCACUAUUACUAAAGAUAUUAGUGGUCUAUACCACAACUCGAAUCCAUGAGUUUCCCUAUGAUUUCUAAGGUUCCCUACGGUUUUUUAAGCAUCCUAGGGAAAGAUAUGGUUCCCUAGAGUUGGGCCAAAAAACCGUACGGAAACUUGGAUUUCCCUAGGAUUGCAUGUUUUCGUCGGGGUGGUUUCUGAGGAAGAGGCGCCUUCCUUGCCAUGCUGAUGCCUUUCCCUAUGACAUGGAUACAAUUCCUAGGGACAUUGGUCAAAUAAAAAAAUAAAAAUAAAAAAUCAGCCACUGAACACCAAAAUUUUUCGGAAAAAGUCUACAUAACCCUCCAAACUAUCUAGGGUCGAAUACUUCAUCCCCAAACUAUAAAAUCAGAUAUUCUACCCCCUAAACUUUCAAAACUGGACAAAUAACCCCUCGAGUGGUUUUAGAGGGUGGUUUUGUCUUUUUUAUUUAUUUAUUUUCACCGGAUCUUUAAAAAAUCUGUAACACCCGAUUUAAAGAACAAAAUCAGAUAUGCACCAUAUGUGAGUUUUAGAAGACAAACCUCACAUAUAGCUACAAAUAAGAGGUAAUAUCAAAAGACAAUGCAUAAAUUAUAUAACGUACAUAGUAAAUCAGAAACAACCUUAGGCAGCAAACCACGGAAGAUAACUCCAAACUUCGGGUGUUAACUUCACUCUACAGGAUCCAACUGAGUGGUUGAUCAUAAGCCCAAUACUUCUCCUGAGGUGUGGGGGAGAUAGCAAGAGUAAGUCCAAGACGAACUCCGCAAGUAUAGCAACUAGAUAGUAUGGAUCCCACGGUCUCAUGAUCAAUGUGACAUAAAUAACAUAGAGCAUUAAACAAUAAUCAAUGAGUUUCUUAACACAACAAGAUUCAUCACUCUUAAUGUAAGAAUCCCCAAGGCCACUCGUGACCGUGAGCACGGCUAGUAUACUAGUUUUUAACACUCUGUAGAGGUUGCACAUCUUUACCCAUGAGUCAUGAUUUACCCUUUCGCCCAAGGUGAUCAGCCUCUUAACCCUCUACC
rnacentral:lncRNA from 1 species